AACGAACGCUGGCGGCAGGCCUAACACAUGCAAGUCGAACGCAUCCUUCGGGGUGAGUGGCAGACGGGUGAGUAACGCGUGGGAACCUACCUUGUGGUACGGAACAACCAAGGGAAACUUUGGCUAAUACCGUAUGAGCCCGAGAGGGGAAAGAUUCAUCGCCAAGAGAUGGGCCCGCGUUGGAUUAGCUAGUUGGUGGGGUAAAGGCCUACCAAGGCGACGAUCCUUAGCUGGUCUGAGAGGAUGACCAGCCACACUGGGACUGAGACACGGCCCAGACUCCUACGGGAGGCAGCAGUGGGGAAUAUUGGACAAUGGGCGCAAGCCUGAUCCAGCCAUGCCGCGUGUGUGAUGAAGGCCUUAGGGUUGUAAAGCACUUUCGCCGAUGAAGAUAAUGACGGUAGUCGGAGAAGAAGCCCCGGCUAACUUCGUGCCAGCCGCCGCCGUAAAAC
rnacentral:rRNA from 1 species